rnacentral:rRNA from 1 species
AACGAACGCUGGCGGCAGGCCUAACACAUGCAAGUCGAGCGCGCCCUUCGGGGUGAGCGGCGGACGGGUGAGUAACGCGUGGGAACGUGCCCUUCUCUGCGGAAUAGCCUCGGGAAACUGAGAGUAAUACCGCAUACGCCCUUUGGGGGAAAGAUUUAUCGGAGAAGGAUCGGCCCGCGUUGGAUUAGGUAAUUGGUGGGGUAAUGGCCCACCAAGCCGACGAUCCAUAGCUGGUUUGAGAGGAUGAUCAGCCACACUGGGACUGAGACACGGCCCAGCCUCCUACGGGAGGCAGCAGUGGGGAAUCUUAGACAAUGGGGGCAACCCUGAUCUAGCCAUGCCGCGUGAGUGAUGAAGGCCUUAGGGUUGUAAAGCUCUUUCAGCUGGGAAGAUAAUGACGGUACCAGCAGAAGAAGCCCCGGCUAACUCCGUG